rnacentral:lncRNA from 1 species
GAUCUAUUUUUGGAUAUGUAUCUCAACUCCCUGGAAUGCUUUAUACCUUUGGCACUCAAUAAAUGUUUGUUGUUGCCAGACUAUCUGCUACAAAAAGUUACUGGGUCUAUUUUAGGGCUGUUUCUUGUUCACUUAGAAAAUAAUCAUGGGAUCACAGAAGUCAAAGCCAUGGAGAGCAUCACACAGCUUUCUCAGCUGUUCCUCAGUUGUUACUUGAGGUAGGGUUAAAAGUAGAGGAUUUGGUACUGAAAGCUUCUCGAGAGCAUAGAGGUGAAGAAAGAAGGAAGGGCAGCUAAAUUCAAACAGAACAGUGUGGAGGUCUUGGCGGUAGAGACCUGCAUCUGAGUUCUCUUACGCUUCCUGCUGGAGUUCAGACCCAGUGCAUGACCUAUCCAGGGCCUGCAGGUGCACGCAGACAAGCAGUUCCUGCUCAUUGAAGGUGUUUAUAUGGAAAAGGCCUGAUACAUGCUCACAGGAAGGAAUGUAUAGCAAAACAGUGGCGUGGUUUUUUAUCUAAGUUACAGUCAAGAAAUUCGGGUAUAUUUUUAAAUGCUAUACCAAGAUUCAACACCCCAAUUGCCCACUGAAGCCCAUUGCAAACCAUUGCUUGCCAUUCUUUGUUUAUGAGUAUAGUGCUCACUUCAUUGACUUCAAGUCAAAUAUGCAGAAUGAAAUCUGUCUCUGAAUUGCCAGCUUGGUCACAAAUUUUUUUAUUCCCAGAUGGAAAUUUUCUCUAGAAGAAAUAAUAACAGUAGUAUUUUGGUCACUGUUCAGUUGUGGAGAAUAAAAUUCACUCAAACUAGUUUAAGCAGAAAGAGAUUAAUCACAGAGUAUUAAAUGGUUUGCAGUAUCAAAUCGCUGAGCUUCCAGGAGUGGUUCCCAAACCCACGCUGCCUGUCCAGGGAUUGUUGCCUUUGCCACAAUCAGGAUGCUGUAGUAUCAGAAAGACACCACCACAACUAUCAGCUCCAGAGCCUCUGCUAUGAGCAGAAAAUAGCCUGCCACGUUAGGAAGCUGCUGUUACAGCUGCUGUCCCAGACUGUACUGCUGUUGUUCCGAGCCACAGCAACAAAAGUGUCUGCUAGAAAUCUAACAUUGGAAGAGCUGACGAAGAUGGUGAUGCAGGAGGCUCCCGAACAUCCCUACUCCCAUGAAUGCAACAAACGUACAGCUACACUCAGAGAAAUUCCCUCUGAAAGAAAUCCAGAACCUAGCUGAGCAACUGCUACACAUCAGGUAGAUGAGAAAAUACAAGAUGGGUAGGAAAGGUUGAGACAUACUCUCACCAUAAACCC